rnacentral:rRNA from 1 species
AUUGAACGCUGGCGGCAGGCCUAACACAUGCAAGUCGAGCGAGCGGCGGACGGGUGAGUAAUGUAUGGGGACUGCCCGAUAGAGGGGGAUAACUACUGGAAACGGGGGAUAAUACCGCAUACUAUCGGAACACCCCUAUGGGAUUAGCUAGUAGGUGGGGUAACGGCUCAUCUAGGCGACGAGCUCUAGCUGGUCUGAGAGGCUGAUCAGCCACAAGUGGACUGAGACACGGCCAAGACGCCUACGGAGGCAGCAGUGGGGAAUAUUGCACAAUGGGCGCAAGCCGGAUGCAGCCAUGCCGCGUGUAUGAAGAAGGCCUUAGGGUUGUAAAGUACUUUCAGCGGGGAGGCGUUACCCGCAGAAGAAGCACCGGCUAACUACGUGCCAGCAGCCGCGGUAAUAC